UCUUGAUUGCAAUAGCUACAUCCUGCCCAGAAGAUGUAAUUUUGCUGGCCUUCUGUCUUCUGGUUCAUUCAUCCUUUCUGUCCCCUCUCCUAUAAUGUUGUUCCUUGAGCCUUAGAAUUAGGUGGCAUUAAUGUGCUCUUUAGGACCGAACACUCAACCUCUCUCACUGUCCGUCAGCACCUUGAGCAGCCAUGGGUCUCUGCUCUCACAGCUACUCUGUGCUGAUUGAAGCUUCGCUGAGUAAGGCCGAGUAGAGCCUUUGUCGGGACCAACAGAAGGCACUGCUUGGAAGAAAGGAUAAACAUCUCUAAACCAACAACUAAGACCACAAUCAGUGUAGUGUUUCUCCAGAACUGCCAUCAAAAACCAGGCCAACGCGACCACAGAGAAUGUGGAGUCCCUGCCAGUCCUUUGCUGACCUCCAGUACUGUUAGAAAAAAAAAAAUGAAAAAAGAAAGAAAGAAAAUUAGCUGAACAGAGUCAACAUUCACUUCCAUAACCAGCUUUCCUAGGAUGUUAUGUAGGAACCGUGCAUCUUCUUAUUCACUUAAGCACGUUACAGUGCUCAGACUCAGCCCUGACUACAGCCGUUCACCUCCCCAUUAGAGUGACCCCCUCCUCCCACCCAGCUUCUUCCCUACUGUAGGGGCCCAUACUCAUUGAAAAGAGCUGUAUUG